rnacentral:rRNA from 1 species
CCUUCGGGACAAGGAGACAGGUGGUGCAUGGUUGUCGUCAGCUCGUGUCGUGAGAUGUUCGGGUUAAGUCCCGCAACGAGCGCAACCCCUGUGGUUAGUUGCCAGCAAGUAGCGUUGGGCACUCUAGCCAGACUGCCGGUGAUAAAUCGGAGGAAGGUGGGGACGACGUCAAAUCAUCAUGCCCUUUAUGUCCUGGGCUACACACGUACUACAAUGGCCGUUACAACGGGAAGCGAAGGAGCAAUCCGGAGCAAAUCCCUUAAAGGCGGUCCCAGUUCAGAUUGUGGGCUGAAACUCGCCCACAUGAAGGCGGAAUUGCUAGUAAUUGCAGAUCAGCAUGCUGCAGUGAAUACGUUCCCGGGCCUU